CAGUUCUUAAUAUUUUUUUACAAUAAUACAAUUAUUAUAUUACAAUAAUAUAAUCACAAUUUUGCCACUGCUAUUCUUUGUCCUUCCUGCGCAUUUCAACCUGCAUUGCAAUUCCCAUGCCAUACAUGUGUUACCAAGCUGAUUUUUCUCUGCUUCUGACAUCUUCCGGUCGAAUUGUCUGCUAACCUACCCUUUGAAACAAACAAUAGAAAAAAAUUAACUUGCAAUACACUAGGAAUGAAUAAAGAUCAUGGAAAGUAUUGAAAUAGAUGUUAAGAAUUGCAGAACUACUUGUAUACUUAUUAUAUGUGAGGAGGUAGCUUGGGCCCAUAUUUUACCGCACCCUGGAAUAUUUUAGUUAAACCCAAUUUGUGGUAAAAAUGCAUUUAAAUAAAAAUCCUGAUGGAAAGUAAAUCAAUAUCAAUUAAUCAGAUUGUGGAAAGUUGGUAAUUUGACUCACUGUGAAAUUAUUUUGUAUCUGUUAGACAAGACCUUUAAUAGUUUGGCUGAAAAGUGACUACAAUGUACAUUCUAAAAUGAAAUUAAGAUUUACAAAUGUCAUCAAACGAUUUCUUGGUGCUGACAAACACAAACUGCAGUUGCCAUGGGCAGCACAUGGCAAAAUAGUUUUUUGAAGGAUCGAAGUAUGUCAAAUGAUAUUGAUGAAUUUUUGUACGUGAUUCCAAGUUAAUGAAUGUUGUUUUCUACCAAAGGACAUUGUAUUUGCCAAUACGUAGACCAACAUUACUUGCCAGAAAGAAAAUAAAACCUCGGAUUGCUGUUUUCACAGGUUUGUUAAAUGGCAGAAAAUGUUGGGCAGGACUUUAUUCAAGCCAUAACAAAUGUUCCUAUGUUUGGACUAGUAGGAUUUACUCAGGAGAACAAGUGCAGUAUCAUUGAUUGUUAUUUGUAGGGGGAUUUGGACGCACCACAACUGCACACCAUAUUUAGCAUUGAAUGAAAUCAUCGAUAAAUUAAAAUUGUCAUAAAACCUCAAAAAAGGGUAGGAAAUAGAAAAAGGUAGUUUGACCCAGAAAAUUGCUGUCAAUUUAGUAAACCUCAAUUUAUCGCUUUUGCCAUCUUACAUGAUUCCUCUCUCCCUCUCUCCCUCUCUCAAUCUCUAUAUCCUUCUUUGUCUCUCUGUUUCUCUGUCUUUGCAGCAUUGCAAACCUCUCUCUGAGCAGCAUUGAUGUACAGAGGUAUCUUGCAAUUUCAAACUUUUUUUUGUUUCUAUAGCUUUUCCUCCAUCUCUCUCUCUCUCUUGGACUUAUUGGUGAUUUAUCCCAUAUGUUGAUAUCUAACACAGCAGAGUUCAAUUUACAUGUUUUUUUCUAAAUGAUGUCUCUAAAUUACUGAACUUUUUCUCCAAAUUGAAGCAUUAUUUACGCCAAUGGAAAGGCUAAUGGUGUGACAGAUAUGUGCAGUUGUAGUAAAUGUAAAAAUCUCUUUUUGAAAUGGUUGAUGGAAUGUAAUAAAACUGCAAGCUAUGCAUCUUGUAAUUUUGUGUUAUACUGCAGUCUGAUUACACGUGAUGAGUAAAACAUUCCUCUGUACAAAUCUGUCUGAUUGUCAAACAUCUCUGUAAACGUUUAAGGUGUAAACUUUAUCAGAUUGUUUGUAAUAAUUUGCAUUAUUUGGGAAAAUAAUGGUGCAGAAGAAUUUAAUAGAGCACCAUGUCACUCUUAGACAAUUGGUGGUAUGGUUACUCUGGCUAAAAUCCCUCUCACAGUUAAGAAAAUCUGCAACUAUAAUUUAAUGGAUAGCAUAGUCUUAUCAAGAAACUAACACAUUCACAAUAGCAGAUUUCAAAUGUUAAAUUGUACAAUGGGGGUUAGUUAACUUACCUCAAUAAAACACAAUAGACUGAUUAAAAGUGCAAAUAUAUGUGAACUGAAAUUCCAAAUGAAUUUGAAGGCGGUUCAAUCCAACACUCGGAAUAUGGUAGGAUGAAAGUGAUGUUAGUGAAUAUAUCUUUUCAUCCAGAGAUAUGGAUGAAAGUGAUGUUAGUGGGCUUUUCAUCUAGAAAUAUGGAUUAAUCAACCAAAUAUAUAAAUUCAAAAAUCAGCAAAGCUACUGGAGUAUUUCAUUGUUCAUUAAAUGUUAUUUGUAACAAUGACCAUGAAACCACCUUUUUUUUUGUAAAAUGACAACUAGUAUUCUCUUCUAAGAAAGGACAUCACCUGUCACUAUCCAACCUGGCGGGUGUGUGAAGCCCUCCAGAUACUCAGCAAUGUAUUUUUUGCUCACCAAGAUGGCUUUGCAAGCCAUUCAGUUGAAAGGUAGUUAGGGAUAGCCAAUAAUGCUGGACAUAGCAGCAAUGUCCACAUCCCAUGAAUGAAUAAAGAAGAAAAUUCACAAAGAACACAGAACUCCUUUAAUAAAUAUUCCAAAGUUAAAAUCCAUGUUGCAACAUUACAUAUGAAAACAAAUAUUUUGGGCAUAUGCCCAUUAGUUAACUGUUACAAUCUUAAUAACAUAGAUAUAACUUCAUACAUUGUAGGCUGUUUUCAUGUUGCACCUGCAAGUAUCCUCAUCUCUCCAUGUGCAGCUAUUGCAACUGACUGCUACCUUCAUAUCAUCAGACCAAACCGAUUAAUUGUCUCUGACCCUAACACUGCAUUCUGAAGAAGGGGUCAUCAUGAAUGUUCACUCAGUCAUAUACACUUGGGAAGUUUCAAGAUCACCUGCUAUGUUGUAUAAAUUGGAUGAGAAUAGCGAUAAAGAUAGACAGUAGACUCCUGUCUAGUUAGUGAUGUUCAGAAAUCCCAAUGAUAGUCAUCUAUUUCACCAAGUGCUGAUUUCCAUGCUCUCUUUCACACACUAGGGCUCUGGUUUCUAGGCUCUCUUUAACACACCAGCGCCCUGGUUCAUUUGUUCCCUUUAAUAUAUCAGGACCCCCGACUCCCAUACUCCAUUUAUUACACCAGAGUUCUGAUUCCCAGGCUGCCAUUAACACAUUGGGACCUCAGUUCCUAUGCUCACUUUAAAUUUACCAGGUGUAAGAAAGAACUGCAGAUGCUGGUUUAAAUCGAAGGUAGACACAAAAUGCUGGAGUAACUCAGCGGGACAGACAGCAUCUCUGGAGAGAAGGAAUGGGUGACGUUUUGGGUUGAGACCCUCCUAUGCUCACUUCAAUUUACCAGGGUCUAGUUCCUGCAUUCCCUUUAACUGUACCAGUGUCACAUUUCACACACUGACUAGAAAACAUACUAUACUGUGGUAGCAGAAACAUGAAGCAAAAAGAAGUAAAUGAAAGUGUGUCCGAUUAUUGGAAUAAUACCAAAUAGUCUGGAGAAUCAGACUGUCCAGAACCACCAAAGUCCUUAGCGUUUCGGAUCACCAGAGUAUCACAGUGAUUGGUUUCAAUUUACCAAGGCAAGGUAAUGGUAAACUAGCCAUAGCUCCCAAUCUUGAUGUGUAGGAAGGAACUGCAGAUACUGGUUUAAACUGAAGAUAGACAUAAAGCUGGAGUAACUCAGCGGGACAGGCAGCAUGUCUGAAGAAGGGUAUCGACCCGAAACUUCACCAAUUCCUUCUCUCCAGAAAUGCUACUUGUCCCACUGAGAUACUCCAGCUUUUUGUGUCUGUCUCCCAAUCUUGAUAGUUAUCUAGGCGAGGGAAGAAACAUUUGCCUUCUUGAAUAAAAUGAGUAUUCAGUUAUUGAUUUGUUUCCCUAAAUAUUAUUCAUUAGUUCCACUCAGCUUCCAAACUCAUGUCUUGGAUUGGGAUCCUGGCUCCAAAUUGGUGACAGGUGGCCUCAUAGGCAUCCAUUUAUCUUCAUUGCAUCGUAUAGUCAAGGUUAACUGAAAAAUAAAAUUCCAUGGCACGAAUAUGUAGCACUGCAGCAGAUUCCUUCUGCAUUUAUUUCUCUCCUCACGGGCUACCAUUGUCACUUCCCACCUUUGCUCACGCACAAAAUAUAUAUAAGCUAAAGGAGUUCGUAAAUUGGAGCUGACUACGCAAUCCUUUUUGGGGGGUAUAUUUUGAUUAUCAAGCACCCAUCUCAGUUAAAGCCAAAACAAAACCACCACCUUUCCUGGUUAAAUUCUGAUGAGUAAUCUACCAUUGGAAAACUGGAUGUGCAAAUGAAGUAAUAUUUUGCUUUCUAAAAUGAAUCAUUGAUAAAGAUUUCACCUUAACAUUGACAUUCCAAGCCUGAAGAUAGCAACUCCUGUUUCUCACUGAAUAUCAAUGUUCGGUGUGAUAUUCAUGAUGACUGUUAACUAAUAGGAUGACAUUUCUGUGCUAGUGACUAACAGACUGUACAUAUUACAAGCUUUAACUGUUUAAUAUAAUGCUUUAUUUCACAUUGUCAGUUUCCAUAUACGAAGGAGACAGUAAAACCAUUAUGUUGUUAGUGUCCAUGACAGAGUAGCUGUACAUUCCUGUGGGAUUUAGGGCUCAUCUGGCCUGGUACUGUAGUUUUGCCCCGGCCAGUGCUUUUUGGGUGUGAAAUGAUCUUGUAUUUCUCAUUACUGGAGGAGUUAAUCAACCUACUUACUGACACAUAGGAAUCUCUUUAUUUAGUACAUGAGAAAACAACCUUGGAUAACUGAAAAUUAAUUGGAGCUGGAAAUCUGGCUUCUUGGUCAGGUAUUAUUUAGGGGUUCUAAUUAGGUGAUUUCUUCCUAAAAAGGUCAAGUAGCUGAUUUGGUCACUGUGAUUUCUGGAGCUUGUUUAAUAGAUUUUUACAGUUGCCGUUGUCUAAGUUUAUAUACUCUAGUCCCAACUAAUAUUGGGAUUUAAAUAUUGGGUAAGCGUUUUGAAAAGAUUUAUGUCUUUAUCUUUGAAGAGCUUAAAUCCAGUGCCAGGGAAACAAAAAAUCAAUUUAAAUGCACUGGUUAAUUACAAGUGUGACCACUGCAGAAUUAUAAAUAUGUAUUAUGUAAUAAGAAUCUUCAUAUGCAGUCAAUGUUUCCUGUGGAUGUUUUGAGACAGGGACAUUUAAAAGUUGCAAAAAACUUAUGUUUACAUGUACGCAUGUAUUCUAAAUUUAUCCAAAAACAUUGUUGUAUCACUAGCAUUAUAUGUCUUAGGUUUUUUACUAAUACUUACCUCACCUGCUUAUGACUUAACUGUUAAAAUGAUUAAACAAUGCAGCCAACCAUAAAAUUUCCUUGAGAAUGCACGAAUGUGGGGUGAAAAGUCAUCAGCUGGUGAAAUUAAUGCUGUACAUAAAGAGACAGGGAGGUACAGGACUAUGUGAAAAUAAAUUGAUAACAGUGAAGUGAAAA